rnacentral:tRNA from 1 species
CGCCGGAUCGAUUUUUUAACGGCCUCACCUCAUCAGGCUCAUAACCUGAAGGCCGCAGGUUCAAAUCCUGCCCCCGCAACCA